rnacentral:rRNA from 1 species
UCAUCUUCGGGGGUAGAGCACUGUUUCGGCUAGGGGGUCAUCCCGACUUACCAACCCGAUGCAAACUACGAAUACCGAAGAAUGUUAUCACGGGAGACACACGGCGGGUGCUAACGUCCGUCGUGAAGAGGGAAACAACCCAGACCGCCAGCUAAGGUCCCAAAGUCAUGGUUAAGUGGGAAACGAUGUGGGAAGGCACAGACAGCCAGGAUGUUGGCUUAGAAGCAGCCAUCAUUUAAAGAAAGCGUAAUAGCUCACUGGUCGAGUCGGCCUGCGCGGAAGAUGUAACGGGGCUAAACCAUGCACCGAAGCUGCGGCAGCGACNUGCUGGAGGUAUCAGAAGUGCGAAUGCUGACAUAAGUAACGAUAAAGCGGGUGAAAAGCCCGCUCGCCGGAAGACCAAGGGUUCCUGUCCAACGUUAAUCGGGGCAGGGUGAGUCGACCCCUAAGGCGAGGCCGAAAGGCGUAGUCGAUGGGAAACAGGUUAAUAUUCCUGUACUUGGUGUUACUGCGAAGGGGGGACGGAGAAGGCUAUGUUAGCCGGGCGACGGUUGUCCCGGUUUAAGCAUGUAGGCGGAGGUUCCAGGUAAAUCCGGUACCUUUUAACGCUGAGGUGUGAUGACGAGGCACUACGGUGCUGAAGUAACAAAUGCCCUGCUUCCAGGAAAAGCCUCUAAGCAUCAGGUAACAUUAAAUCGUACCCCAAACCGACACAGGUGGUCAGGUAGAGAAUACCAAGGCGCUUGAGAGAACUCGGGUGAAGGAACUAGGCAAAAUGGUGCCGUAACUUCGGGAGAAGGCACGCUGGUGUGUAGGUGAAGUCCCUGCGGAUGGAGCUGAGACCAGUCGAAGAUACCAGCUGGCUGCAACUGUUUAUUAAAAACACAGCACUGUGCAAACACGAAAGUGGACGUAUACGGUGUGACGCCUGCCCGGUGCCGGAAGGUUAAUUGAUGGGGUUAUCCGUAAGGAGAAGCUCUUGAUCGAAGCCCCGGUAAACGGCGGCCGUAACUAUAACGGUCCUAAGGUAGCGAAAUUCCUUGUCGGGUAAGUUCCGACCUGCACGAAUGGCGUAAUGAUGGCCAGGCUGUCUCCACCCGAGACUCAGUGAAAUUGAACUCGCUGUGAAGAUGCAGUGUACCCGCGGCAAGACGGAAAGACCCCGUGAACCUUUACUAUAGCUUGACACUGAACAUUGAGCCUUGAUGUGUAGGAUAGGUGGGAGGCUUUGAAGCGUGGACGCCAGUCUGCGUGGAGCCAACCUUGAAAUACCACCCUUUAAUGUUUGAUGUUCUAACGUAGGCCCCU